rnacentral:rRNA from 1 species
CUAACAAGGAUUCCCCUAGUAACUGCGAGUGAAGCGGGAAGAGCUCAAAUUUAAAAUCUGGCGGUCAUUGGGCCGUCCGAGUUGUAUUCUGGAGAAGCGCUUUCCGCGCCGGACCGUGUAUAAGUCUCUUGGAACGGAGCGUCACAGAGGGUGAGAAUCCCGUCUUUGACACGGACUGCCGGUGCUUUUGUGAUGCGCUCUCGAAGAGUCGAGUUGUUUGGGAAUGCAGCUCAAAAUGGGUGGUGAAUUCCAUCUAAAGCUAAAUAUUGGCGAGAGACCGAUAGCGAACAAGUACCGUGAGGGAAAGAUGAAAAGCACUUUGAAAAGAGAGUCAAACAGUACGUGAAAUUGUUGAAAGGGAAACGCUUGAAGUCAGUCGCGUGGGCCGGAACUCAACCUCACUUCUGUGGGGUGCACUUUCCGAGUCAACGGGCCAACGUCGAUUUUGGCCGCCGGACAAGGAUUGGAGGAAUGUGGCACCCGCUUGCGGGUGUGUUAUAGCCUCUGGUCGGAUACGGCGGGUUGGGAUCGAGGACCGCGGUGGCUCUUCGGGGUCACCUAGGAUGUUGGCGUAAUGGCUUUAAACGACCCGUCUUGAAACACGGACCAAGGAGUCUAACGUGCAUGCGAGUGUUUGGGUGGAAAACCCGGGCGCGUAAUGAAAGUGAAAGUUGAGACCUCUGUCGCGGAGGGCAUCGACGCCCGGACCUGAUCUUCGGUGACGGAUCUGCGGUAGAGCAUGUGCGUUGGGACCCGAAAGAUGGUGAACUAUGCCUGAAUAGGGUGAAGCCAGAGGAAACUCUGGUGGAGGCUCGUAGCGAUUCUGACGUGCAAAUCGAUCGUCAAAUUUGGGUAUAGGGGCGAAAGACUAAUCGAACCAUCUAGUAGCUGGUUCCUGC